GAUGAAGAACGCAGUGAAAUGCGAUACGUAAUGUGAAUUGCAGAAUUCAGUGAAUCAUCGAAUCUUCGAACGCAUAUUGCGCUCUCUGGUAUUCCGGAGAGCAUGCUUGUUUGAGUAUCAGUAAACACCUCAACUUCCAUAUCUUUUUUGAAAUGGGAGUUGGACUUGAGUGAUCCCAACGCUUUUCCUCACCGAAAAGUGGCGGGUUACUUGAAAUGCAGGUGCAGCUGGACUUUUCUCUGAGCUAUAAGCAUAUCUAUUUAGUCUGCCUAAAAAACAGAUUAUUACCUUUGCUGCAGCUAACAUAAAGGAGAUUAGUUCUUGUGCUGACUGAUGCAGGAUUCACAAAGACAGGCUUCGGCCGACUUUGUAAACUCGAUCUCAAAUCAAGUAAGACUACCCGCUGAACUUAAGCAUAUCAAUAAGCGGAGGA
rnacentral:misc_RNA from 1 species